AGAUUAGAGUACCAGUUACACUUUGGUUUCGGCCCAAAUAUUUUGAUUAUUUUAUCACUAAUCUU
rnacentral:tRNA from 1 species